rnacentral:tRNA from 1 species
AAAAGAAUGGGUUUUUGAUUAGAUAAUUUGCAAUUAUUUAUAAUGAAUGUUCAUAGA